CCUCCUCUCUUCCCUCCCCUCUCACAGCAGUCUUCAGCACCGCCCCUCCCCUGAGUCCCCUCUCAUCAAUGCUGGAUUCAAGACCAGGAACAUCCUCAGCCGUUGUGCCCCUGCGGAGGCAAAGCCUAGGUGUGACUAGCAGGCCACCACUUCAGGCAUCACCCCCACGCCGCAUAUCGUUGGUUUCACCCGUGCCCCCACAACAACUGCUGUACAGUCCCCCACGCAUGCCCCCACAAUCACCACAUUUGCCAGCAGACACCAGUCAACAUGAAAGUGACACACAACAGCAACAAACUGAGGACACAUUUACCCUUCAACUUACAUCAAUACCACCACCAUACGCAACACCCACAGAUUUACCAACCCAAACAUAACCACAAACACCUGAGCAAGACAUAAGGCCAAGCAUAGCCACGACGCAGUCUUCAGACCAGGCAUUUUGGACCACCUGGGCCACAUAGCUCGGCCACACCGCUGAAAGUCUGCAAAAAAACACACAAGCUGUAAGGAGUAUAGCCCAUCACAUGCCCCACCUAUGCAGAAGCAACAGCCACCAAACAUACGGAGCUCACCAGAUUGGCCAAUACCAAAAAUACAGAAAAUGAACUGUCCCAAGGCGCAAAACAAACUUAUACAGCUAAAUACAAACAAAGGGACCACCAAUGCCCUGAAAUGGAGACAA